GACGAACGCUGGCGGCGUGCUUAACACAUGCAAGUCGACGACGCUACUGAGUAGCAAUAUUUAGUAGUGGAGUGGCGCAAGGGUGAGUAAUGUAUACGUAACCAACCCAUCGGAGACGGAUAACAUUUCGAAAGGGAUGCUAAAACGGCAUGAAGCCACGAUUUUGCAUGAGAUUGUGGUUAAAGAACCGGUAACAGGUUGCCGAUGGCUGGGCGUAUAUCCGAUUAGCUAGUUGGUAGUGUAAUGGACUACCAAGGCGACGAUCGGUAGCUGGUCUGAGAGGAUGAUCAGCCACACUGGCACUGAGACACGGGCCAGACUCCUACGGGAGGCAGCAGUGGGGAAUAUUGGGCAAUGCCCGCAAGGGUGACCCAGCAACGCCGCGUGGAGGAUGAAGGCCGUAAGGUUGUAAACUCUGACAAGCAGGGAAGAACGGCUAUGGUAAAAGGCCAUAGAAUGACGGUACCUGCCUGAAGCCCCGGCUAACUACGU
rnacentral:rRNA from 1 species